rnacentral:rRNA from 1 species
UACGUAGGGUGCGAGCGUUGUCCGGAAUUACUGGGCGUAAAGAGCUCGUAGGUGGUUUGUCGCGUUGUCCGUGAAAACUCACAACUCAAUUGUGGGCGUGCGGGCGAUACGGGCAGACUGGAGUACUGCAGGGGAGACUGGAAUUCCUGGUGUAGCGGUGGAAUGCGCAGAUAUCAGGAGGAACACCGGUGGCGAAGGCAGCUCGCUGGGACGGUACUGACGCUGAGGCGCGAAAGCGUGGGGAGCAAACAGG